UCUUCAGAAGAGUCCUCUGGUCCACCUCCCACCCGUGUUUAUUUUACCUUGUUGCUUCGGCGGGCCCGCCUUAACUGGCCGCCGGGGGGCUUACGCCCCCGGCCCGCGCCCGCCGAAGACACCCUCGAACUCUGUCUGAAGAUUGUAGUCUGAGUGAAUAAAACUUUCAACAACGGAUCUUCUUGGUUCCGGCAUCGAUGAAGAACGCAGCGAAAUGCGAUACGUAAUGUGAAUUGCAAAUUCAGUGAAUCAUCGAGUCUUUGAACGCACAUUGCGCCCCCUGGUAUUCCGGGGGGCAUGCCUGUCCGAGCGUCAUUGCUGCCCUCAAGCACGGUUGUGUGUUGGCCCCGUCCUCCGAUCCCGGGGGACGGGCCCGAAAGGAGCGCGGCCCGCGCCGGUCUCGAGCGAUGGGGUUUGUCACCGCUCUGAGCCCGGCGGCGUUGCCAUCAACCAAUUUUAUCCGGUGGCCUCGGAUCAGGAGGGUACCCGCUGAAUUAGAUUCAAAGGGGGAGAAAAUCUUCCCGGCCGGCCACUAAGCGGGGAGGGG
rnacentral:rRNA from 1 species